AGCAGUGUGGCUUAGUGGAAAAAGUAAAGGUCUGGGAGUCAAAGGACCUGGGCUCUAAUCCCAGCUCUGCCA
rnacentral:tRNA from 1 species